AAAAAAAAAGUGUAUUAACGUACUUAGAGUACAUUCACGUUUUCACUUCCUCCUGAACUCUUAAAACUUUUUUCAUCAUGGUCAGUCAUCGUAUCUCUUUCAUCCACGACUGUACCUUUGCCAAACAGUUUUCGCCACCCAGAUCUCCACGAUAUUGCUGUGAGCUCCCUCCUUUUCUUUCUUCGAUUUUCCAUAUGGUGAGAGGGGUUUUGCUCCUCCUUCUUCCUUCUUCUCAAAUCUGGUUCCUCAUGGAAGAUCUAGCCAGACUCUGUGUAUCCCAUUCUGGUUAGAGUAGUCAUCUCGUGCGAUGCAGGUUUCAUCUUCCUUUCUUUUGCUAUUUUUAAUUUCCCAUUUUUGAUUAAUUGUUAUUUAGUUUUUUGGUUUUGACUUAAGGAUGAAGAAGGUAGUAAAAAUAUUCUUGGUGUGAUGAUAGAUCUGUCGUUUAUUGUUUAUUGUUUAUUUGAAUGGAAGAUUGUUUGGUGAUUUAAGAGGUAGAAUAAGAAUAUAAUGUUGGUUUGUGUGCUAGGUCUGUUAAAUGGGAGUAGAAAAUAUGAAAAUGGUGAUAGAGAAAAGGAAUGGAGUGGGUUUCACUGUAAGAAAUUUUGUUCAUGAAAUUAAACAUGAAUAAAAAUAGAGAACCUGUAGCUUGAAAUAUGCAUGAUGCUUGAAAUAUGGGAAGAUUGAUUUAGUUUUUUAUGAUGAAUUUUGACUCAUUGAUUUUGCUUUGUUUCAGGAAGAUGACGACAAAACUUGUGGAGGAGAGAGGGCUGCAAUUGAAGCAAAUUAAUAUUACGUAAAGGUACAGUGCUUUGAAUUAAUUUAAUAUAAAUGUAAAGGAUAGUGCUUUGAAUUGAUCUUAUUUUAUUUGCAUUUCUAUUUUGAGAAGACCAUUUAAAAGAUUGGAGCUUUGAAAAUAUUCUACGUAUACAUCCAAAUGAAACUUAAAAUAUGCAUAAUAAUUCAUCGUACAUAUCAUGCUUUUGGCACCAUGUAAUAGUUAGCUGAAACAAAUUUUAUUUUAAAUUAUUCAUUGACUACUUUUACUAUUAAAUGAUGACUUUUCUCACACUUUUAAAAUUUAUGUAUACAUUCAUUUUAAAUGCUUUUUGAUAUGAUUUAUUUUUUUAUUUUAUUUCAAAGUUUAAUUUAUAAUUAUUUAGUUAGUUUUUAAGAUUACAAUAGUAAUAAUAAUAAUUAUUAUUAUUAUAUAUAAUCAGUUUUUUCUAUUACUUAAUAAUUGAAUAAUUUUACACUUAGUUAUUAUUGAUUUUUUAUUAUGUAAAUUUAAGUAUUUUUAAAAGUAUUUGCAUACUUAAAUUUAUUAAUAAUUGAAGUAGGUGCACAUGAAAUGAUGACAUGGAAAAAGAAGAAGAAGGUGAUGUUGUGUCAAAGCUUUAUGGCCAUGUUGUUGUCAAGGUUGAGCAGAAACCAAAAAAAUAUAUAAUAUAUAUGGAUAAAUUAUGGACAAAUUAUGCUCAUGUUUUGUUUAGAUUAUUUUUAAAUUUAAAAGUUAAAGUUAAACUUUUGUUUACACUACACAUUUUGUGUUAGACAUCUUACUAUUUAUUUUUCAUUUUGAAAUUUUUAUUAUGUACUUGAGUGGAAUAAUUUGAAAUAUAUAUUAUGUUCUGAAAAAUUUAUUGUAUUUUAAGUUUUUUUUUUUCGUGAUUAAAUAAAUAAAAUUAAAAAAAAAUUUAAAUCUAUUAGGGUCACAACAUAUUUAUAUUUACUACUAUUUUUUUUUAUAAAUAUAUGAAUAUAAAAACAAAUUUAAAUUUAUUAUGUCACAACAUUUCUCGCGGUUACGGAAACUAUUGAGAAAAAUAUCACAUACAGACAAUUAUUUUUGGGGGUUUUCAAAACAGUGCGAUACUAGUAGGGGUUUUCACAAAACUGCUCGUACUAGCAGGGUUUCCACAAAAACCGCUGGUAAUUACCAAGAGUUCCCAAUACCGUCGGUACUUGUAGCGGUUUUCACGAAACCGCUGGUAAUUACCAGGGGUUUUCCAAAACCGUCGGAAAAUAAUUUUUUUUAAAAUAAAAUAAAAUAAUAUAUUUAUAUUUAACAUUCAAUCAAUUUUCCUUUAUUAUGAUCUUAUCCAAUCAAUUUAUAAUCAAUAUACCCUGUUAAUGAACAAAUUCAAUUAAACAAACAAUGAAAUUCAUUUCAUACAUUAAAUUGUGUAAUAAUAUUUAAUACAUUAUUUGUACAUAAAAUUAUCUAAUGUAAAACUAUAUUUGUUGAAGAACUAGGAAAGCUUCACUUAACAAGGAAACCCUCAUAAUUACAUGGUUUCCAUAAGGAGAAACGAUAAUGUGAUAAGUUGAAGAACAUAAGCUCAUGGUUGUAUAGGCCUGUUGAAAAAAAAAAAAAAAUCACUUCAUAACACCAAACCAAUCAAUCCAACUAAAACUGAAAUUAAAUUAUUAUGUUGAAUUAUUUAUGGGUUUUAGAUUUGAAAGCCAAUCCAAUACAAAAUGAAACAAACUUGUUCGUGUUUUAUAUCAUCUAUGUAAAUUUAGAUUAUCUAUCUUCAUUUAGAAAAUUUGUUAUUAUAGCUCAAGCUAAAUUUUGUAGCCUCUCUAAAAUUUGAACACAUGUAGUGAAAAUUAAUUAAAGCAACUUAUAAUUAAUCAAUUAAUUAAAAGCUUACUCUUAUUUUUCUUUCAAUUAUUAAAACGACUUAUACAUAAGCAAUUGUUAACAAGUCCUUGAUGUAAUAGGAUGGAAAACCAAAGAAUGAAACAAGAUUAGUAAAAUAAUGAUUACACUAGGGUAGAGAUUUCAUUAAAUUUGACUACUUGACCACCCACCAGACAAUAAAUCAAGAGAAUAUUGAAUCCAGUCUUUUUAAAAAAUAAUCGAAACCAUAAGAAUAAAAGAAGAAAACCAACCUGCAUAUCACUCUCACAAGAUUUCAAGGCUAGUCCUAUCCUAUUUGCAAUUCUUUUGAGUUGCUCUCUAACUUCAAGAACCUUUCUCUGUGAAAUUUAAGCAGCCAUGUCAACAUCAAUAUUGGAAAGGAAAUGAGUGCAUGGCUGAUGAGUCGUUAUUUCUUGAACUUUACUUAGUUUAUUGCACUUAAAUAAACCAAGGAAUUGUGUUUAAUUGUUUGUUAUUUCCCCGUUUUUUCGAAUUCUGCUUAAUUUGGUCGGAAAUGCGUAUUUUCACUAAUUUGAAUUUUCUGAGUUGAUUAAUUGGAUUUUUGGGUGUAGGGAAAUUUUGGAAACAUCACUUGGAGCAUUAGGAAAGGUGGCGUGAUCAUUCAAGACUCAACAUUUAGUAAUUUCCAUUUUAAUUAAGUUGUAAUUUCGUUUAUUUUAGAAACCUUAAUUAGAUUAGGUGUUUUUGGGUCCUUUUAGUGGCAAUUUUCUAGAAGCCCAUUUUGUAGGACAUGUGGCUUUAGCUAGGGUUUCAUUUUUAGGAGGUGGACCCCACUUUUAGUGAGGAUGCUCGGCAAUUUUAGUGUGUAGCCGACCACUCCUUUUUCCAAGCACACUUUUCACUUCUUCUUGGUUUUCUAGGGUUUUGUAAUGACACUCUCAUGGAGAACUUGCUAUGUGCUUUGAUUGUGACCAUUUGAAUGANCAAAGUUGCAUAUUUUCUUUGUCUCUUGCUUUCAUCUUGGUUAUCUUGGCUUGGUAGAAGUAGAAAANCGUCCCAUUCCCCAUCUCUUUUCUUGUUCUUUGAAGUUGGAAGCAUGAACUUGNGAGCUUUUCUUUGCAUUUUCAUGGUGGUUCUUGAGUUUGAAUGAAAGUNUAUUUCGUUUUCCUCUUCAUUUGCUGCAAUACUCACGGUUUUCAUUUCACUUAACUUGGUUGGAUAAUGAAAAUGGANUUCUUGUUGAGUUUUNGNUUGAAGGAAGCUUAAGUUGAUGUGUNGGUGUUGUGGNUUGGACUCUUUCUUCUUNUUUUUCGGNUUUAAUGUUUGAAGCAAGAUUACAACCAGAAUUUUNUGUUGUUUAUGGNGGCUGGACNUGCUGGACUUGAAGGGUAGGGAUUCAUUUUCGUUUUUUACUAAAAGCUUGAAGAAAUGGGAAGGUUUGGUUGGGUCAAAUGAGUAGAAGUUUGAGUUUAUCAUUCUUGUGUUAAUUUGGCAUUUGAACUUUGGUCUCUUGGGUGUAUGCUCGGUGGAACGGAGGAAGAAAACAUGAAUGAUGUGUGUUGGUAGAAGAGAAAAACCGAAAAUGGAGAAAGGAAGGAGGAGAGAAGGUGCAUUUAUGUUUUUACCAUUUUUGGGCAAACACAUAUGAUGCUUGUUUUGACUAAGGGAAUGUUUCCACUUUUGGUUUGUCUCUUGAACAUGUUUCUGCCGAGAAUUGAUAUGGUGAAGGGAGAUGUUUGUGUUUGAUUUUUCAAUUGUCU
rnacentral:lncRNA from 1 species